AUUGAACGCUGGCGGAAUGCUUUACACAUGCAAGUCGAACGGUAGAGGGGGCAACCCCUUGAGAGUGGCGAACGGGUGAGUAAUAUAUCGGAACGUGCCCAGUCGUGGGGAUAACGUAGCGAAAGUUACGCUAAUACCGCAUACGAUCUAAGGAUGAAAGCGGGGGAUCGCAAGACCUCGCGCGAUUGGAGCGGCCGAUAUCAGAUUAGGUAGUUGGUGAGGUAAAGGCUCACCAAGCCAACGAUCUGUAGCUGGUCUGAGAGGACGACCAGCCACACUGGAACUGAGACACGGUCCAGACUCCUACGGGAGGCAGCAGUGGGGAAUUUUGGACAAUGGACGCAAGUCUGAUCCAGCCAUUCCGCGUGCAGGAUGAAGGCCCUCGGGUUGUAAACUGCUUUGUACGGAACGAAAAGGUUUGUCUUAAUACGAUGAGCUCAUGACGGUACCGUAAGAAUAAGCACCGGCUAACUACGUGCCAGCAGCCGCGGUAAAGUG
rnacentral:rRNA from 1 species